CCUACGGGAGGCAGCAGUGGGGGAUAUUGCACAAUGGGGGAAACCCUGAUGCAGCGACGCCGCGUGUGGGAAGACGGUCUUCUGGAUUGUAAACCACUGUCCCCAGGGACGAAAAUGACGGUACCUGGGGAGGAAGCUCCGGCUAACUACGUGCCAGCAGCCGCGGUAAUACGUAGGGCGCAAGAGUUGUCCGGAAUUACUAGGUGUAAAGGGAGCGUAGGCGGGGAUGCAAGGUGGGUGUCAAAACUACCGGCUCAACCGAUAGUCGCACUCAAAACCGCAGCUCUUGAGUGAAGUAGAGGCAGGCGGAAUUCAUAGUGUAGCGGUGAAAUGCGUAGAUAUUAGGAGGAACACCAGUGGCGAAGGCGGCCUGCUGGGCUUUUACUGACGCUGAGGCUCGAAAGUGUGGGGAGCAAACAGGAUUAGAUACCCCAGUAGUC
rnacentral:rRNA from 1 species